AUGUCUUACAGUAUUUCACAUCAUUUGUGCAAUUGCAGUUUAACUUCUACCAUUUACUGGUUGCUUGUAGGUACACAUGUCAGUGGCACUGAUCCACGCUUCGACCCAGAGGAACAGCUCGCCUCCGCCGUCGCUGACUUUGGGCGGGUUCUGGCCAAGAUGAAGUGCCCCAGCAACUACCUCUCAGGACUUAUCAAGUAUGUACUCACCAGUUCAAUCUUACCAGCUGCCGUAACUUGGGCUCAUCAUGCUAUACUCGCGGGGCAAAUAAUGGAAAAAAUGGAUUCAAUUAUCAGCUGGUCCUAUCGAAAGUAG
rnacentral:rRNA from 1 species